rnacentral:rRNA from 1 species
UAACGCGUGAGCAACCUGCCUUUCAGAGGGGGAUAACGAUUGGAAGCGAUCGCUAAUACCGCAUAACGUCCGGAUGGGACAUCCUGUCUGGACCAAAGGAGAAAUCCGCUGAGAGAUGGGCUCGCGUCCAAUUAGCUAGUUGGCGGGGUAAAGGCCCACCAAGGCGACGAUUGGUAGCCGGACUGAGAGGUUGAACGGCCACAUUGGGACUGAGACACGGCCCAGACUCCUACGGGAGGCAGCAGUGGGGAAUAUUGCACAAUGGGGGGAACCCUGAUGCAGCGACGCCGCGUGAAGGAAGACGGUUUUCGGAUUGUAAACUUCUGUUCUUAGUGAAGAAAAAUGACGGUAGCAGAGGAGGAAGCCACGGCUAACUACGUGCCAGCAGCCGCGGUAAUACGUAGGUGGCGAGCGUUAUCCGGAAUUACUGGGUGUAAAGGGAGCGUAGGCGGGGGAACAAGUUGAAUGUUUAAGAUAUGGGCUCAACUCAUAUAAGCGUUCAAAACUGUUUUUCUUGAGUGAAGUAGAGGUAAGCGGAAUUCCUAGUGUAGCGGUGGAAUGCGUAAAUAUUAGGAGGAACACCAGUGGCGAAGGCGGCUUACUGGGCUUUAACUGACGCUGAGGCUCGAAAGCGUGGGUAGCAAACAGGAUUAGAUACCCUGGUAGU